rnacentral:rRNA from 1 species
AACGAACGCUGGCGGCAGGCCUAACACAUGCAAGUCGAGCGAAGCCUUCGGGCUUAGCGGCGGACGGGUGAGUAACGCGUGGGAACGUGCCCUUUGGUACGGAAUAGCCCCGGGAAACUGGGAGUAAUACCGUAUGUGGUCGAGAGACGAAUGAUUUAUCGCCAAAGGAUCGGCCCGCGUUGGAUUAGGUAGUUGGUGGGGUAAUGGCCUACCAAGCCGACGAUCCAUAGCUGGUUUGAGAGGAUGAUCAGCCACACUGGGACUGAGACACGGCCCAGACUCCUACGGGAGGCAGCAGUGGGGAAUCUUAGACAAUGGGGGAAACCCUGAUCUAGCCAUGCCGCGUGAUCGAUGAAGGCCUUAGGGUUGUAAGAUCUUUCAGUGGGGAAGAUAAUGACUGUACCCACAGAAGAAGCCCCGGCUAACUCCGUGCCAGCCGCCGCCGUAAUAC